rnacentral:rRNA from 1 species
UAGGGAAUCUUCCACAAUGGACGCAAGUCUGAUGGAGCAACGCCGCGUGAGUGAAGAAGGUUUUCGGAUCGUAAAGCUCUGUUGUUGGUGAAGAAGGAUAGAGGCAGUAACUGAUCUUUAUUUGACGGUAAUCAACCAGAAAGUCACGGCUAACUACGUGCCAGCAGCCGCGGUAAUACGUAGGUGGCAAGCGUUGUCCGGAUUUAUUGGGCGUAAAGCGAGCGCAGGCGGAAUGAUAAGUCUGAUGUGAAAGCCCACGGCUCAACCGUGGAACUGCAUCGGAAACUGUCAUUCUUGAGUGCAGAAGAGGAGAGUGGAAUUCCAUGUGUAGCGGUGGAAUGCGUUGAUAUAUGGAAGAACACCAGUGGCGAAGGCGGCUCUCUGGUCUGCAACUGACGCUGGGGCUCGAAAGCAUGGGUAGCGAACAGG